rnacentral:ncRNA from 1 species
CAAAGGCUUGGUCCUGACUUUACCAUCAGCUUUAGCCCGAUUUACACAUGCAAGUCUCCGCAAACCCGUGAGAAUGCCCUCAAUCCUCCGCCCGGGGACGAGGAGCAGGCAUCAGGCACAAAUUUUAGCCCAAGACGCCUUGCCAUGCCACACCCCCAAGGGAAUUCAGCAGUGAUAAACAUUAAGCCAUAAGUGAAAACUUGACUUAGUUGGAGCUAAGAGGGCCGGUAAAACUCGUGCCAGCCACCGCGGUUAUACGAGAGGCCCAAGUUGAUAGACACGGCGUAAAGGGUGGUUAAGGUUUAACUUAAACUAAGGCCAAAAGACCUCUUGGCUGUCAUACGCCCCUGAGUGUCCGAAGACCACAUACGAAGGUAGCUUUAUUAAUACCCGCCUGACCCCACGAAAACUGAGAAACAAACUGGGAUUAGAUACCCCACUAUGCUCAGCCAUAAACCUAGACGUUAUUUUACACAAACGUCCGCCAGGGUACUACGAGCAUUAGCUUAAAACCCAAAGGACUUGGCGGUGCCUUAGACCCCCCUAGAGGAGCCUGUUCUAGAACCGAUAACCCCCGUUAAACCUCACCACUUCUAGCCAUCCCCGCCUAUAUACCGCCGUCGUCAGCUUACCCUGUGAAGGUCUAAUAGUAAGCAAAGUGGACAAAAUCCAAAACGUCAGGUCGAGGUGUAGCGAACGAAGUGGGAAGAAAUGGGCUACAUUUUCUUUAUAAGAAUAUCACGAACAACACUAUGAAAUUAGUGCUCAAAGGAGGAUUUAGUAGUAAAAAGGAAAUAGAGUGUCCUUUUGAACCCGGCUCUGAGGCGCGUACACACCGCCCGUCACUCUCCCCGCCUAAUAGCGAUAACAGUUCCUAACAUAAAAGCACAAACAAGGGGAGGCAAGUCGUAACAUGGUAAGUGUACCGGAAGGUGCACUUGGAUCAAAU